CAUUCCUGAUCACCCUCCCUCCCAGGAUGGAUCUUGCCAGAAGCAGUUGGCUUGAAUGUUGCUUUCUGGCCUGCCCCCAGCCCCCAUCUUUUACCUAUAAAAACCCCAGGCUCUGUUGGCAGAGGGGUGGCACAGUGGCAGAGUGGAGCAGCAGAGAAGGAGAAAAGAGAAGCAGCAGCCAGGUGUCGGAGAGAAGCAGUUUGACUUCAGAGGGAUGGCUUGACAGCGAGACUUCAGAGAAGAGUUCCGCCAGGGACAGCUGAACUCUGGGAGAAGACUGCCUUUCCACUCCAUCCCUGUUCCAGCUCCCCAUCCUGCUGAGAGCCACUUCCACUGCUCAGUAAAAUCCUCCAUAUUCACCACCCUUCAAUUCAUUUGUGUGAUCUGAAUCUUCCUGGAUGCUGGACAAGAACUCAGGUACCAAGAGGGCAGGUGCAAAAGGCUGUCACCCUCACCAUCCACUGAGCUGGUAAACAUUUAAGCCAUCCCUGGGUGGCAAAGCUAAAAGGGCACACUGUAACAUAUGUCCUCUGAGGCUCUUGAGGUCACAGGUACCCCUGCUAGAUGCUGCUAUGGAGCUGCACAGAGUUCUACUUCUGGUGCCCAGAAGCAUUCAUCCCA
rnacentral:lncRNA from 1 species